rnacentral:rRNA from 1 species
UACGGAGGGGACUAGCGUUGUUCGGAAUUACUGGGCGUAAAGCGCACGUAGGCGGAUUUGUAAGUCAGGGGUGAAAUCCCGGGGCUCAACCUCGGAACUGCCUUUGAUACUGCAAAUCUCGAGUCCGGAAGAGGUGAGUGGAAUUCCUAGUGUAGAGGUGAAAUUCGUAGAUAUUCGGAAGAACACCAGUGGCGAAGGCGGCUCACUGGUCCGGUACUGACGCUGAGGUGCGAAAGCGUGGGGAGCAAACAGG